rnacentral:rRNA from 1 species
UGGGGAAUAUUGCACAAUGGGCGCAAGCCUGAUGCAGCCAUGCCGCGUGUGUGAAGAAGGCCUUCGGGUUGUAAAGCACUUUCAGCGGGGAGGAAGGCGAUAAGGUUAAUAACCUUGUCGAUUGACGUUACCCGCAGAAGAAGCACCGGCUAACUCCGUGCCAGCAGCCGCGGUAAUACGGAGGGUGCAAGCGUUAAUCGGAAUUACUGGGCGUAAAGCGCACGCAGGCGGUCUGUCAAGUCGGAUGUGAAAUCCCCGGGCUCAACCUGGGAACUGCAUUCGAAACUGGCAGGCUAGAGUCUUGUAGAGGGGGGUAGAAUUCCAGGUGUAGCGGUGAGAUGCGUAGAGAUCUGGAGGAAUACCGGUGGCGAAGGCGGCCCCCUGGACAAAGACUGACGCUCAGGUGCGAAAGCGUGGGGAGCAAACAGG